rnacentral:lncRNA from 1 species
GUGACUGAUAACACUUUUAUUUCACUGACAUUUUAAGAUAUUUCACUAAAUGUUAUAUAAUAAAACAUUCUCUCUUUUUUUCUGUGCUAAAGACAAGGGUGUUUGUUUUUUUGUAACAUGGACAUAUAAGUAUUAGUACAGUUAUGGAACAGGGCCCAGAACUCUUUAAGCCAAAAUGUUUUCAGAAUCCCACCUAGAUAAUGUACUACAUCCACCAGGGGAUCAUGUACCAAAUACUACCAUGCGAUAAUAUUUGUGCAGUUUUAAUUUAGGACUAAAUUACAAAUCCUCUUUUUGUCUUACGUGUGUGUAAACACAUGCAUUUAAGAAAAACAGGCUGCAUAAAUUCAGCCCUUGUUAUUCCUACAAUAUUGAUAUUACUUUGCUGAUGCAAAAUUACACUUUUUAAAUGACAUUUAACACAUAAUGUAAUGAUUUUUUUAAUAGUGGUUUGAUAAAACAACAGAUGGGAUAUUGUAAUUAAUAUACUCUGUUUGUGUAUGUAUGCAUGUGGCUUUUUCCUCUGUAUUUCAAUCCAAACCGUUUUAUGGUUUGGACUUCAAACUUCUGUCAUAGGAUCUGCAUGGGAGUAGGAUAGGUGGAUUUAUUUUUCUAGUCAUUUAUUGAAAUGUCAAAUAGUACUGUUAGCACAAACAGACAAAUGGUUUCCACACAAUUCAGUCCCAAAUGUCCACAGCUCUACUAGAAUGGGUUAUAUUCUUUUAUGUUCAUAUCAAUUCUACUACUCUCAUUUGUAAUCCAUAAGAAUAUCUACAAGUCUAGCUUGCAUUUCAAAUUAGUGGUUAUUAUUUUUUAAAGGGUGUUUUUAUUCAUCAAGUUAACAGUUUUUGAAAAUUAUUUGCAAUUCAUGAUUGUUUUUGGAAGAGUUUGCAAUUUAUAUUUUCUUUUGGAAAAUAGUUCGUUAUUCUUUGUUGUUUUUGGAAGGUGGUUUGCAAUUCAUUGAUGUUUUUGGAAGGUAGUUUGCAAUUCAUUAAUGUUUUUGGAAGGUAGUUUGCAAUUAAUUGAUGUUUUUGGAAGGUAGUUUGCAAUUCAUUGAUGUUUUUAGAACAGUUUGCAAUUCAUAGUUUCUUUUGCAAGACAGUUUGAAAUUCAUUGUUGAUUUUCAAAAGUACAUGUAUGUAGUUUCAAUUUUAUUUCUGUAAAUUAGUUUUCAAUUCAUGAUUGUUUUUGGAAAGUAGUUUGCAGGGUUGGUGCUUCCAGUAUGGGAAAUAUAUCAGUUAUUGAAUAUUGAUUAUGCAUAAUUUAUGAAAAUAUGUAUGGUUUAUGUGUGCAAAAAUAUUUAAAUAACUUAGUGUAGAAAAUAAGAAUAAGAAAUCCCAUUAAGAAUCUCAGUUAUUUAUAUUAUUUAUAAAUAUGUAAAUACAUGUAAUUCGAUAACACAUGAGUAUGUACACAAUUCUGUGUAGAAAUAUUUUAUUAAAUCUAUUUUUGGAUCAGAUGCAUGAAUGCUGGUAUGUUGUUAAAAAUUAUAAAACUGUUACAGAUUAUGAGAUGUUUAUAAAUGUGUUCACUGUUAUAAUCAAAGCAAUAUGUUUGUUUAUUGAAUGGUAAUACAAUAUUGUGUUUAUUGAAUGGUAAUACAAUAUUGUGUUUAUUGAAUGGUAAUACAAUAUUGUUAUCUAACGAACUUAGAUGAACUGCAUUGUAUGGUUUGAGUUUCAAUUUGGUUUACAAAAAAUUGUUAAUCUCACUUAUACUUGAAUAUUUCUGUUAAUGGCAUGGAGAUGAAAUGUUAAUUUUUGAGUCCCAGUGAAUAUUAUGUUGUGAGAACUAGGUAAUUUAAAAUCAUUUACAAUCCUAGCAUAUAGCCCAUGUCUACCUACAUGCAAUUCUGAAUGAAAACACAUAAUCACUUUCCAUGUGUAUGUUCCUAGAUACAAUACCUACAUAAUAAUAAAAGGUGAAAUAAUAAAAGGUGAAUUAAAAAGAUGGUAACUCCAGACUAUACAUGUCUAAGUACAGAUCAUUCUUUAGCAUUUUUUAUGAAUCUACUUUUAGAAAAUUAUUUUAAUAACAAAAAGAAAGAAAAAAAGCACUGGAAUUGGAUAAAGAUAUAAAAAGUCACAUCCCUGUAUGUUAUUGUUGACGACAGAAGUAACUUGUUUAUUGCAGAAAUAUGUGUAUGCAAUACAACAGACUUAGAUGUUGUGUAUAAGUAUUUUUUCUCAUAGUUUUCAUUUAAACAAUAAUUAGACAUAUCAUUAAGUGGUUGAGGAACAGAUUUUGAAGAAAAAAAAAAUAUUCAAGGAAUCAUGUCUUUCAUAAAAACUCUUGAAUUUUUAGUUGAGACGUAUGUCCCAAAAAUGCAUGUACUGGAAAGGGUACAGUAUGAAUGAUUAAACAGAAUGAGAAAAUAGUAUAUUGGGACAUUAAUCUGGUCAUCAAAAAAAAAAAAAAAAUCAUGAUCAAAAUUCAUAGCAAUGUGUGGUUUCAGCAGGCUGACCAAAACCUCCUACUAUUAUAGUGUGUUGGUAUCAACAUAGGUUAACCAAAUCAAGCAUUCUUGGUAAGGUUAGGUCAGGUCAUAAGGCUUGACGUGCACAUUCAGAACAAGCUGUUGUAGCGCAUGUGUCGACUUAUUCCGGCUCCUCGGUCUCGGUUGAAUUGACAUUACUUUCAUAUAUUCAUUGACUUCAGAAGGUGUGGGCAGGACGUACAUGUAGCUCGGAGCCAGAGGUUUCUGUCCUAAUGGGUGAUACAUGAUUGGUAAAUAUAUACUCAUGGAAACAGUUCCUGUACAUGUAUAGUGGUAAUGAAGGGGAAAAAAUCAAAUCUUGUUCAAGAAAUUAUUUAUUGGUCAUUUGUAAACAUUAUGGACGAUUUUCACAAUUAUGUUGAAGUCGUCAUCUUGUCACAUUUUUACCAUUUACAAUGUAUGACCACUACACCAGCUUAUCUCACUAAUUACCAUAUAUCCAUGUUCUGGCCAAGAUAGCCGAGUUAUGUGCCCAAAACAUGAUGUUUGAACUUAAGGUGAAUAUAAGCAUGAAAGUAAACCCUAUAUGAUAUCACACCUAGCCCUAUCAUUAAACAUUACAUUUGUUUCAUUCUUCAUAGCAUUUGGGGAAAUUAUGGUAUUUCACACUUAAUACUAAUGGAGUUCAUUAAACAGGCUGCAACUUUAUUUUUUUUCUGUAAUGUAAAUUAUAUUAGUAAAAAACAGUAAAAACAUAACUUGUCCUGUAUAAUUCAUUAUCUUUCAUAAAUGCCACACGAAUAGGUUAAAAUGCAGUAUUAGUGUUAUUAAAAAGCCAUUUUGGGGUAUCAGUAAUAUAUAUUUAUUAUAUUACAUGGGUAUUUUAAGAAAAUACUGAAUUUCUUUAAAAUCUAUUGUCAAAAGUGGAAGCCAUUAUUUGUUAAUAAAAUUUAAGAAAAUA